rnacentral:rRNA from 1 species
CAAACAGGACUUCAAUGGGUCAUGGAGUGUUACGGUCGACCUAGAUACUUUUAUAAAAUGUUUCGAAUGGGCAAUGAUGUUUUCAUGGCACUUCAUGAUUUGCUUGUCUCUGCAUAUGGUUUGACGUCAACCACUAAUGUUUCAUCAAUUGAGUCACUGGCCAUGUUCUUAUGGAUUGUUGGAGGCCCUCAAUCAUUUGCUCAAGCUGAGAACCGUUUUGUACGAUCACUUUGGACAGUUCAUACAAAGUUUAAGGAAGUUUUGUUAUGUUUGCGCAAGUUAGCGAAAGAUAACAUCAAACCUAGAGAUCCUACUUUUAGGCAUGAGCAUGAAAAGAUUAAGGAAGAGCGUUUCUGGCCUCAUUUCAAAGGCGCUAUUGGUGCCAUAGAUGAAUCACAUGUGCCAGUUUCAGUGCCUGCAGAUGAUGCGGUUAACCAUAGAUGUCGACAUGGUUUCACAUCUCAGAAUGUGCUUGCAGUAUGUGACUUUGACAUGAGGUUUACGUUUGUGGUUGCGGGUUGGCCGGGCUGUGCACAUGAUACAAGGGUCUUGAAUCAUGCAUUAGCACACUUCCCUUCAUUUCCUAUACCACCCAAUGGGAAAUACUAUCUUGUCGACUCUGGGUAUCCAAACCGAACGGGAUACCUUGCUCCUUUUAAGGGGAGUACAUACCAUCUGCCGGAAUUUCGUCUUCGCCGUCAUCGUCCACCUGAAGGGAAGUACGAGUUGUUUAACUUUUCACAUUCAUCCCUUCGAAAUGUUGUUGAGCGUGCUUUCGGGGUACUCAAGCAGAAAUGGCGCAUCUUGAAAGGGGUCCCAAGUUUCUCACCUCGUACACAGAAGCAUAUCAUCAUUGCUUGC